AUACGGAGGGUCCAAGCGUUAUGCGGAUUCAUUGGGUUUAAAGGGUCCGCAGGCGGGAAAAUAAGUCAGUGGUGAAAGCCUACAGCUCAACUGUAGAACUGCCAUUGAUACUGUUUUUCUUGAGUAUAGAUGAAGUGGGCGGAAUAUAUCAUGUAGCGGUGAAAUGCAUAGAUAUGAUAUAGAACACCGAUUGCGAAGGCAGCUCACUAAACUAUUACUGACGCUCAGGGACGAAAGCGUGGGUAGCAAACAGGAUUAGAUACCCUAGUAGUCC
rnacentral:rRNA from 1 species